AUAAUGACUCCGGUCCAAAGAUUUAUCGGUGAAGGAUUAGCCCGCGUCUGAUUAGCUAGUUGGUGAGGUAACGGCUCACCAAGGCGACGAUCAGUAGCUGGUCUGAGAGGAUGAUCAGCCACACUGGAACUGAGACACGGUCAGACUCCUACGGGAGGCAGCAGUUAGGAAUAUUGGACAAUGGGCGAAAGCCUGAUCCAGCCAUGCCGCGUGUGUGAAGAAGGCCUUAGGGUUGUAAAGCACUUUCGUCUGUGAAGAUAAUGACAGUAGCAGAAGAAGAAGCUCCGGCUAAAUUCGUGCCAGCAGCCGCGGUAAUACGAAUGGAGCGAGCGUUGUUCGGAAUCACUGGGCGUAAAGGGUGCGCAGGCGGUUAUGAAAGUCAGAAGUGAAAGCCCAGGGCUCAACCCUGGAAUUGCUUUUGAAACUCCAUAACUUGAGUAUUGGAGAGGUUAGCGGAAUUCCGAGUGUAGAGGUGAAAUUCGCAGAUAUUCGGAGGAACACCAAUGGCGUAGGCAGCUAACUGGACAAUUACUGACGCUCAUGCACGAAAGCGUGGGGAUCAAACAGGAUUAGAUACCCUGGUAGUCCACGCCCUAAACGAUGUGUGCUAGUUGUCGGGCCCUUUAGGGUUCGGUGACGCAGCUAACGCUUUAAGCACACCGCCUGGGGAGUACGGUCGCAAGAUUAAAACUCAAAGGAAUUGACGGGGACCCGCACAAGCGGUGGAGCAUGUUGUUUAAUU
rnacentral:rRNA from 1 species